ACCCCGUUGGCGCAGUGGAUACCGCACUGGACUUCUAUUUGGAAAUAAUCCAGGGAUCAUGGGUUCGAAUCCCAUACGGGGUG
rnacentral:tRNA from 1 species